GUGUGAAGUUAUAGGUGAGGAAGAUGAAGAGAUCAGCCAAGAAGAUAAUACUCGGCAUCAUGAUGUUGGAAAACGUAGAGAAAUUGCACUGGAAAGAACUAGCAAGGAGUUCGUGUUUCCUAGAUUAAGUUUUUUGCGGUUGGCAUACCUUGAGAAUCUUCGAAGCUUUGGUGGUAGUUAUCGGGAGGAUUAUGAGUUCAAAUUUCCCCUACUCACUGAGUUGAUCAUAUCUUAUUGCCCAAAGUUGAAGAAAUUCUGUUCCGGAAAUUUGGAUGCACCAUUGCUUAAGAAAGUUCAAAUAGGGCCGAGUGACAGGGAGAAUUUUGAAGCUCCCGUGGAUUUAAAGGAUCGAGAGAUUUGUCCUUAUUGAUUUUAAAUUGACACAAUUAUCUGCAUAUUAAGAAUGUUGUGGGAACCAUCAAGUUGAUCGAAUAAUGUGGUCUAGUUACCACAGUCUUGACUGAACUGGUGGAUUGGGCUAUCAGAUAUGGAUGCAGAUCUUAACAUAUAUGGUUAAUACUAUAAGUGUGGAACUUAUAUAAGUUUUGUGUGCUUGCUUUUGUCAUUGAUAUUCAAAUAAUAAACAUAUUGUGUGUAUAGUAUCAUGGCUUUUAAAUAAUAAAUGUGCUGUAUGUAUUGU